rnacentral:lncRNA from 1 species
UGAGCCGAUUUUGGCUGACGGUUAGUAUGAACAUAACAUAUCGUUUCUACUUUUUUGCUGUUUCAUAAUUUUUUCCACUCCUUAAGUCUGAUUGGCGUAUGGAGGUCAUGUAAAGAAUAAGAAAAAAUUGACUAAUGUUGGUUAUGGAAAAAAGAGAAAUAUGCCUAAUAAUAUCCGAUUACGCUCUGACUAUGUUCCACUUAAAAAAGUGCCAAAUUGUGAAUUCUGCUCGGCUAAAAAAUUUCAGUAUGAAUCACCUUCAUUUUGUUGUGCUAACGGUACAGUUAAGUUGACUUAUCAUAAAAUGGCACCUGCAUUGAGAAAUUUAUAUCUAGGAUCUUCUGCAAAAUCGAAGCACUUCCAGACGUAUAUUAGAACGUAUAAUAAUAUGUUUGCUUUUAGCUCGCUUGGUGUCAGUUACGAUAAAGAUCUAGCCAAAAGAAAUCGUGGUAUAUAUACAUUCAGAGUUAAAGGUCAAAUGUAUCACUUUAUAGAUGAUUUAUAUUCUGCAGAGAGAAGGCCUAAAAAUUUACAGUUGUACUUUUAUGAUAACGACAAUGAGAUUGCAAAUAGAAUGGCUUGCUCUGAUAAAAUAAAUGAAUUAAUAGUGUGGGAAUUGAUAGACACACUGAAAGAUAAUCCAUAUUCUAUAUUUUUACGAAUUUUAUCUGAGAUUUCGAACUUACAGAACUAUCACAUCGCACUUAAAUGUAACUCUGGAUUGGAUCAACGAAUAUUUAACUUGCCCAGUACUACAGAGGUUGCAGCUAUAUGGGUUGAUGAGAAUGAUGUUGGUGCUAUUCAUGUACCACACAUUCAAAUUUAUACUCACAGCAAUAGAACUCAAAGAGUGAACUACUAUUUUGGGUGUUAUAAUCCUUUACAGUAUCCUUUACUAUUUCCAUAUGGCCAAAGUGGGUGGCAUUUUGGCAUUAAAAAGUUUCAUGGGGAAGAAAAUAUGCCUAAAAAUUAUGCGUUGUCUGAUUUGGAACAAUUACCAAAUAUAAAAAAUUUCACCUCUGUUGACGGAUAUCUUGAUAUGGAAGAUCAAGUUAUGCAAAAAGGAAAACGAAAGAGAGAUACAGUUUCAGUUCGUGAAUACUAUAGUUACAGGCUCCAGAUGAGAAACGAUGAUGAAGAUGAACUUCUACAUACAGGGAGAUUACUUCAACAAUAUUCGGUUGAUGAAUAUAUAAAAUUGGAGACUCAAAGAAUGGAUUUUGUUUUCUUCAAUCAAGAUUUGUUCAGAAUGGAUAUGUUAAAUGGACUUCUUGACAUUUUAAGACUUGGUGAACGAUAUGCUUCUAAUUUUGGAAAACAAACAUUUCUACCAAAUUCAUUUAUAGGAGGGCCUAGAGAUAUGCGUCAACGUUAUAUGACCGAUAUUGCAUUAGUGCAGUAUUUUGGAAAGCCUGAUUUAUUUAUAACGAUGACAUGUAACCCAACUUGGCCAGAAAUUGAGGAACAUUUAGCACCUAGCGAUGAGGCACAAAAUAGACCUGAUUUGAUUAGUCGCGUAUUUAGGGCCAAAAUAGAAGAGCUGAAGACGGAUAUUCUAAAACGAAAUAUCUUUGGAAAAGUUGUUGCUUUUAUGUACACCGUUGAGUUUCAAAAAUGAGGUUUACCUCAUGCUCAUUUUCUUAUUAUAUUACAAAAUGACUAUAAAUUGUUGACAACUGAAGCAUACGAUGAAAUAAUUAGAGCAUAAUUACCAGAUGCUAAUGCAGACUCAGAUUUGCGUAAGCUUGUUCUUAAGCAUAUGAUGCACAGUCCUUGUGGUAGUUUAGACCCAACAAAUUCCUGUAUGAGGAAAAAAACGGGUUCUUGCAAGUUCAAAUAUCCAAAAAUAUCUGCUUAUCAAACAUUAAAAGGAAAUGAUUCUCUUCCAAUUUAUAGAAGACGAAAUACAGGUGAAGUUGUGAAGUAAGAGGUCAUGACUUAGAUAACUCUUGGGUCGUCCCAUACAAUCCAUAUUUACUCGGUAAAUACAAUUGUCACAUAAAUGUUGAAGUUUGCAUCAAAGUUGUGAAGUACCUUUAUAAGUACAUCUGUAAAGGACAUGACAAAAUUGCAUUUUCUGUACAAAAUGAUGCGAAUAUAGAAAUAGAUGAGGUAAAUGAAUAUCGAUCUACUAGAUGGGUAUCACCUCCGGAAGCUGUAUGGCGUCUCUUUCGUUUUCCUAUUAGCGAAAUGUCUCCGAAUGUUUAUCAUCUUCAGCUGCAUCUUGAUGGACAACAACUUGUUUCCUUCAAGAAAAAUAUGGAUAUAAAUACAAUUGUAAAUAAUCCCAUGAUUAAAAAAACUAUGUUGACCGAAUUCUUCUAUAUGAACAAAACAGGUAAGAAUGCCAUGAAACUGAACUUAUUGUACAGAGAAUUUCCUGAAUACUUUGUGUGGUCCUCCAGCGACAAAUUUUGGGCACUUCGACAGCGUCGUUGUACUGUUGGCCGCGUUUCAUCCAACAGAAGGAGAACGAUAUUAUCUUAGAUUAUUAUUGAUGCAUGUGCGUGGGCCGACAUCGUAAGAGGAUCUUCUUAUGGUAAAUGGAGAACUUUGUAGUACAUUUAGAGAAUUUGUGGAAAAAAGAGGAUUAUUACAGUGUGAUAACAGUUUAACGGAAUGCAUGUCUGAAGCAGCAAGUUAUCAUAUACCAUAUAGUUUAAAGCGUUUGUUUGCUACAUUAUUGGUACACUGCAACCCUACCAAUCCAAGAGAACUAUGGGAGCAAUUUGAAGAGUGUAUGUCUGAAGAUUAUAAAGUGUUACGGACUAUUGAAACAAAAUCCGAUAUCAAGUUCCGAACCAUAUCAAUGAUAUUUUGCAUUCUAUGGGUCACAAUGUAAAUGAAUAUGAACUCAUUCCACAAACUAUUAGACCUUCCGCAGAAGCGAAAGAAGCAAAAGAGAUUCAUUUUGAAAGAACUACUACCGUAAGUGAAGAUGAGGUACAAUUGCAUAAGAGACUAAACAAAAAUCAACUGACAGCAUAUGAUGUAAUUAUCAACAGAGUAUUUUCCAACAAAGCGGGCGCAUUUUUCAUUGACAGUCCAGGAGGAACUGAAAAAACUUUCUUAUACCGUGCUUUACUAGCAACUGUACGGUCUAUGGGAUAUAUCACUUUGGCAACUGCGACUUCUGGUGUCGCUGCUUCUAUUCUCUCUGGUGGGCGUACUGCACAUUCACGCUUUAAAAUUCCUAUUGAUAUUGAUGAGAAUGUUAGUUGUAUUAGUAAACAAAGCGCACUUGCGAGUUUAAUUCGCGAUGCAAAAUUGAUUGUAUGGGAUGAGGCAUCUAUGGCAAAUAAAAGAAUGCUAGAAUUUUUUAAUUUGCUACUAAAAGAUCUCAUGGAUACAAAUGUAUUAUUCGGUGGAAAAGUAGUUGUUUUUGGGGCUGAUUUUAGACAAACUCUUCCCGUUGUGAGAAAUGGAAAAAAGGAAGAUUUCAUUAAUCAAAGUUUGUUAUAUUCCAGCAUUUGGGCCAAGCUAGAAAAAAUACAAUUAUCUGAGAAUAUGAGGGCAAAAACAGAUCCUGCGUUCUGUGAUUUUUUGCUAAGAAUUGGGAAUGGACAAGAACGUAACGCAACAAAUAACAUUGAAGUACCAAAUUCUUUAAUUGUGCCUUUCACAGCUGAAAGAGAAUCUUUAGAUAAACUAUUCACAGUGACAUAUCCAUAUUUGAAUUCAUCUGGUUAUGAAGCUUCUUGUACAGACUCCCGUGUAAUUUUGACAACAAAAAAUAAUUGUGCCGAUGAAAUCAACGAUAUGCUUAUUGAUCAAUUUCCAGGAAAAGCAAGAAUAUUUGUUGGUAUUGAUGAGACAAUUGAAUCUGACAAUCAAUCACAAUUUGAAGAUCUAUUGCAUACUUUAAACCCUGCAGGUUUGCCUCCGUACAUAUUAUCUUUGAAAAAGAAUUGUCCAAUUAUGUUAUUACGAAACUUAAAUCCAUAUGAAGGUUUAUGCAAUGUCACACGAUUAAACUGUUGUGGAUUUAAAACUCAUGUUCUAAGUGCUAAGAUUGCACCAGGUGAUUUCAAGAAUACACAUGUAUUUAUUCCAAGAAUACCAUUAUUAUCUUCAAAUAAUGAAAAAUUGCCCGUUUAAUUCAAGAGAACACAAUUUCCAGUAAGAAUGUGCUUUGUUAUGACUAUAAAUAAAGCGCAGGGUCAAACAUUAAAUUUUGUGGGAAUUUAUUUGCGUGAACCUGUAUUUUCCUACGGCCAACUUUAUGUUGCCUUAUCUAGAGCAAAGAGUUCGAACUAUGUGAAAUUGUUGAUUCGACCUCCCACCCCGACUAGUGAUGAUGAUCAUUCUACCUUAACAUAGUUUACGAUGAAAUCAUUCAAAAGGCAAUCAUGUGAUGUUUCUUACUACAAGAUGAUUGUCUAAGUCUUUUGUUCUGCAGUGGAUGAUUCCUCAGCGGAUUAUACUUCGUUUGUAUCUCUAAAUGUUAAUCCAACAGGUAUUUUUCAUCUUCCAUUUGUUUUCAUCUUGAUCUCUAUCUAAUAUGAUUGCUUUUUUGUAAAGAGUGAUUGAAUUAUUCAUUUAUGUAAUUUCUUAUUUCUCUAUUUGCUUCGCUAAUCCUCUGCUUUUUCUUCUGAGAUUCAUGUUGCCUGAGAUCCUCAUUUAGGUUUGUUUUCCGUGCUUCCUGCCUUUUUAAGCUUCUACGCUCUCCAUUGGCACCUUUCUAAGUGAGCUUUGCGGUUAAUUACUACAAAUUGAAUUAUCUAUAAAAACUUUGAAGUUUCAAAGUUGCAGUUACAAAAUUGCAUCAUCUAUCUAUAGAAGAUUUUAAUGGAAAUACCAGUAUAUCUAAUAUCUUACUUUCAUGGUGUUUUACAUCUAUACCUGUAGUGGCUUCUGUUUUUCUUUUACUUUUUUCUUCCAGUUAUAUAACCUUAUUCAUUUGAUGAAUGGUUGUACGUUGAAUUAUUAACCUUGCUAGGACAUUCCGCAGUCAUUGAAAAUCGUAACUGGUGACAAUUAAUUAAUCAUUCUACGAGUGUUCUUGGUGCAAGAUGGAGGGCUAAUAUAUUUUUACUGGAAUGUUGCAUAUAGGUAAAGCAUAUUACAGUACUGUAGCAUGAUGUUUGUAGGUGGUGUUCUAAAUUUUUUUGCUUUCUUCAGAGAAAUAUAAUAUGUAGGUGAUGAUAAAUCUAAUACUUGGAAAAGCCAAAAAGAAAAAGAGAGCAAAACAAAUGCAUUCCGAAAGCAAAGACAAGCCUGAUAUGUCUACAAAUCCGUAUGUUUUAUUUCUUUCGCUACUUGCUACUUCUAAAUUUCAUCAACAUUUGUUUUGACUCUUUAAGUCUUCUCUUUGAUGGAUCUAUGAAAAAUUAGCACUAAACUUCUCCUUGAUUUUUCCUUGCAGUUGGUGAGCCACUCAAGAAAAACUUUCCAGGUUUGCUUCUCUGACAUUUCAACAAAUUUUGUCAUUCUUUGAUUAAAAUAUUUUAAGAUUUAUUAUAAUUGACUUGACACACUUUCUAAUUAUCCUAAAGUGUAAUCAUUGGAACUCUUUUGUCACAUGGAAAAGGUAUGAAAUUGCAUUUGCAGGUAGUAUAAAAUUAACCUAUAUUUUUUUAGCAAAUGAGCUAUUACAUUGUUUGAUAAAUGCUAUUGACGUUAUCUUUGAAUGGGUCAUCAAGCAAUAUUGAGUUAUCGAUCCGAUUUUCUUUUUUGUUGCAAAUGUGAGGAAAUAAGAAGAUGAUAUGUUACUAUUAGAAUGUGAAUAUGAUAAGGCAAAUUUUGAAAGAAUCUUCAUUUUACAUGAUUGAAUGGAUAUUCAUAUUUUCUUCCUUUAAUUUGUUGGACUUUGUGUUUUUUAUUUUUCCUGGUGUAAUGAUUAAGCUCUAUUCUCCUAUUGUUUGAUAACUCAACUGCUUUUAGGAUUUGGACAGAAAUUACACAAAAUUUUGGUACUUUUACUUCAUUUACUUUAUUUGUGUUAAAAAAAAGGCCAAACCUGAAUAAUGUGUUGUUGGCCACUCAAAAAUAUCACAUUCUGUUAAGUCGAAAAAUUUCAGCUAUAGAUGUUGGGGCAGAAUGUAAAUCUAUAUUCCACCCAAAAGGGAAAGAACUUUACAUCAAUUAACUUUGCCCAUCGAGAAGUUUGUGACUAAUGUGCAUACUAGAUGCGGGAAAAUAGACAUGAAUAUGGUAGGUAUUUGAGAAAACAAAAACACCUGGACAAACAAAGUAACAUUAAUGAUAUAGUAAGAUAUAUAUACCUAUAGAGUACUUUAUUUACUAUUUUGCAAAGGAAAAUAAGUAGUGGAGUAUAUAUAUUUUUGUUAAAUUAAUCGUUUUUAUGUAGAUGAGCAAAUAAAGUUGUAUUAUUCAUGUGAUCAUUAGGGGAAUAAGUAAGUUGAUGGUUCUUUUAUAAUGAAACAUGGCAAAAGAUUUUUUUUAAUGUUUCUUGUUUACUCUAUGCAUGUUUGGAGUACUCAGGUUUUACUUAACUGAGAAUAUACUUCUGACAAAUAUACUUCUGACUCUAAUAUUAUUACUGUAGUGUAGAAACACUUGAUGAUCACAUAACUGUUGUACGAAGGGAUAACGAACACAGAUCUCAAACUGAAAAAGGAGAAUAAGAAAUGAUGCAGCUCGAGAAAAAACCAAGAGAAAACCAAUAACUCUUCAAGAAGAAAAAGCUCGGCAAGAAAUGGUCAGAGCAAAGACAAGGUAAGUGUUUUUUCGCUAUCUAGAGAGAUUUACAAUGUGAUAUGCUCAUUGGAAAUUGGCACAUAUGCUUACACUUUUUAUUUACUUUAUUUCACUAGCUUUUCUUUCUACUGAUGUGUAGAAGAUAUGUGUAAAAGAUAUGCAUGUAUCUUUGAUAGAAUCCAACACUAAAACAUAGUUGUUUCAUUACAAGGUCCACAAUUGAAUACAAGUAACUGCCCUCUAAUUGCAUUAUGUGCUAAAUACAUGCAGGAUAAAGUACUUGAAAUGUCAUUAUUCAAAAUUUGUAUAUUUAAUCUGGCCAAAUGAUUCCAUCUUACUACUCAGAGAUCUAUUUUGUUUUGUGUUAUUAUUACAUAGGCCUAAUAAGUGUAUCUUUUUCCUCUGCCAGCAGCUCAAGUCUAUCACGAGUUUAUCUUCGCCAAAACUAUUUGACAAACUUUUGCACACAUGAAAUAUUGAAGAGGGAUUUCUAUGUCUUUGUCAUACUUUUUCAUCUUUUUCCCAAGC